rnacentral:rRNA from 1 species
UACGGAGGGUGCAAGCGUUGUCCGGAAUCACUGGGCGUAAAGGGCGCGUAGGCGGCUCAUGAAGGCUGUGGUGAAAGCCCUGGGCUCAACCCGGGAAUUGCGCUUGAUACUGGUGCGCUUGAAUCCAGGAGAGGUUGGUGGAAUUCCCAGUGUAGAGGUGAAAUUCGUAGAGAUUGGGAAGAACACCGGUGGCGAAGGCGGCCAACUGGACUGGUAUUGACGCUGAGGCGCGAAAGCGUGGGGAGCAAACAGG